AGCGAACGCUGGCGGCAGGCUUAACACAUGCAAGUCGAGCGCCCCGCAAGGGGAGCGGCAGACGGGUGAGUAACACGUGGGAACGUACCUUUUGGUUCGGAACAACACAGGGAAACUUGUGCUAAUACCGGAUAAGCCCCUACGGGGAAAGAUGUAUCGCCGAACGAUCGGCCCGCGUCUGGUUAGCUAGUUGGUGACGUAAUGUCUCACCAAGGCUACUAUCGGUAGCUGGUCUGAGAGGAAGAGCAGCCACCCUGGGACUGAGACACGGCCCAGACUCCUACUGGAGGCAGCAGUUGGUAAUAUUGGACAAUGGGGGCAACCCUGAUCCAGCCAUGCCGCGUGAGUGAUGAAGGCCCUAGGGUUGUAAAGCUCUGUUAACGGGGAAGAUAAUGACGGUACCCGUAGAAUAAGCGCCGGAUAACUUCGUGCCAGCAGCCGCCGUAAUAC
rnacentral:rRNA from 1 species